rnacentral:rRNA from 1 species
GGUUUGAUUCUGGCUCAGAUUGAACGCUGGCGGGAUGCUUUACACAUGCAAGUCGAACGGCAGCACGGACUUCGGUCUGGUGGCGAGUGGCGAACGGGUGAGUAAUGUAUCGGAACGUGCCUAGUAGCGGGGGAUAACUACGAAAGCGAGAAGCAUACCGCAUACGCCCUUCGGGGGAAAGUGGGGACCUUUCGGGCCUCGCACUAUUAGAGCGGCUGAUAUCGGAUUAGCUAGUUGGUGGGGUAACGGCUCACCAAGGCGACGAUCCGUAGCUGGUUUGAGGACGACCAGCCACACUGACUGAGACACGGCCCAGACUCCUACGGGAGGCAGCAGUGGGGAAUUUUGGACAAUGGGGAAACCUGAUCCAGCCAUCCCCCAAGUGUGCGAUGAAGGCCUUCGGGUUGUAAAGCACUUUUGGCAGGAAAAAGAAAACGGCACGGGAUAAUACCCCGUGCAACUGACGGUACCUGCAGAAUAAGCACCGGCUAACUACGCCAGCAGCCGCGUAAUACGUGGGGUGCAAGUGUUAAUCGGAAUUACUGGGCGUAGCGUGCGCAGGCGGUUCGAAAGAAAGAUGUGAAAUCCCAGAGCUAACUUUGGAACUGCAUUUUUAACUACCGAGCUAGAGUGUGUCAGAGGGAGGUGGGAAUUCCGCGUGUAGCAGUGAAAUGCGUAGAUAUGCGGAGGAACACCGAUGGCGAAGGCAGCCUGGGAUAACACUGACGCUCAUGCACGAAAGCGUGGGGAGCAAACAGGAUUAGAUACCCUGGUAGUCCCACGCCCUAAACGAUGUCAACUAGCUGUUAGCCUUCGGGCCUUGGUAGCGCAGCUAACGCGUGAAGUUGACCGCCUGGGGAGUACGGUCGCAAGAUAAACUCAAAGGAAUUGACGGGGACCCGCACAAGCGGUGGAUGAUGUGGAUUAAUUCGAUGCAACGCGAAAACCUUACCUACCCUUGACAUGUCUGAAUCCCGAAGAGAUUUGGGAGUGCCCGCAAGAGAACCGGAACACAGGUGCUGCAUGGCUGUCGUCAGCUCGUGUCGUGAGAUGUUGGGUUAAGUCCCGCAAUUACGCAACCCUUGUCAUUAGUUGCUAUGAAAGGGCACUCUAAUGAGACUGCCGGUGACAAACCGAGGAAGGUGGGGAUGACGUCAAGUCCUCAUGGCCCUUAUGGGUAGGGCUUGACACGUCAUACAAUGGUCGGGACAGAGGGUCGCCAACCCGCGAGGGGGGAGCCGAAUCCCAGAAACCCGAUCGUAGUCCGGAUCGCAGUCUGCAACUCGACUGCGUGAAGUCGGAAUCGCUAGUAAUCGCGGAUCAGCAUGUCGCGGUGAAUACGUUCCCGGGUCUUGUACACACCGCCCGUCACACCAUGGGAGUGGGUUUUACCAGAAGUAGUUAGCCUAACCGUAAGGGAGGGCGAUUACCACGGUAGAUUCAUGACUGGGUGAAGUCGUAACAAGGUAA